rnacentral:sRNA from 1 species
UGUAUAAAUAUUCCGGGCCACGCAUAACUGUGCUUUCUCUGGGCAAAAACCAAAACAAAACAAAUUUCGCAUAGAAAAGUGUAUUUUUAGAGUAUUAACGUAUCGGCUAUCAGGAGGAUGCAUGUAAGAAAGUGCUCCCCAGCGUGGGGGGACUAUGCUAUUUUACGAGCUGUAUUUCACAUUUUCACAGGUCACCGCCACGCACACAAUCACAAAUAGACACGCACACGCAUACGAAUACGCACAUAAACACAUUUGUCCAAGGGAGCGCGACAAUUGCCUGAACGGCGCGGCCGGCCUUGUGGGACAUUUUGCAUGGAGCAGAGGAUGCGAUGCGAUGCGAUGCGAUGGUCCGGCACUGGAGGAGGAAACCUAAUGAGCGCGUACCGCCCACGCAAUGAAACGGGCCAGAGACACACACACACACACACACACACAUACUAGGCAAUUUUGGGCUGCUGUCUCGGAUCUCGGGAGCCCUCAUAUCUGUGGUUUUCAUGGAAUCAACUGACCAGAAUGGUGUACUCUGGCCUUCUCAGCCAAGUUACACCUGCAUCUGCCUGGGGAUUUAUUCGACAUCAACCUAACAAAUUCCGAUAUGAACCAUCAGGCAUAUCUGUCAGAAGAUGCUGCGCGAGAGAGGAGGGAUGCUGCUACAGGAUGGACUCUGAUGUGCAGAUGGAUACAGGAUAGCAGAGAGAGCAGACACACGGAUACACUGAGACAAACAAACUUUAAGGUGGCAUUCAUUUCGAUUCGAAAAUGGACUCCUUCCUCGCGCGAGUAUUUUCGGGCAGUGUAUGCCUGGUUCCCCCUCGCGGCGUGGUGGCCCCGCAUGUUACGCAUUUCCUCUUGGGAUUCCAGGGCAUUGGGCGCUGUUCUUUUGAUAUUGUAAUGUGCAUAAUAGGAUUUUUAUGACACCUUUACUGUGGGGGCGGGCGGGCAUCAGGCAUCGCCAAUGGCACCAAUGGCUGCUGCCUCGCCUAAUCGCCAGAAGGACUGGCAGACUGGCCCCCUGUUUCCGCUGCUGAUGCUCUCCUUCUUGUCACCAAAAAGUUGCAAAUUUUAUUGGCCGGAUGUGCGGAUGUGCGGAUGUGCGGCAGCGGCAUGUGGAUUGUGGAUUUGCAUCAGAUCAUGAAUUUCACACGAUGGUAAUGGCCACAUUAGCAUUGACUACACGCAUUUAUGGCCCAGACCACACCCCAACCCCCAACCCCACCUCCAUUCUCCGGCCCAGGGGUAAGGUAAGUGCAUGUGCUAAAUUUUUAAUAUGCAAAUUUCGUUUCAGGGCUGCCGCCUGUGCGCUCACCUUUCGCAUUUCAUUUACACUUGUGCUGCAUAUUUUAUUGUGUUGUAUGUACACGGCAUUAUUGCACACAAAUGGCCAGUUACAUAUUAAGCCGAACAAUAACCGCCGACUGUGUUGUCAGGACUCUGGGGGAAACCCGGAUGUGGAUGUGGAUGCGAAUGUGGAUAUGGGUCCUCCAGAUGGCUGGCAAAAUGCCAUUUGAUUCGAGCGACACUUGGGGCUGUCUCUGUCUCCUGCUCCUGCCUCGUUGCGCAUCGUUUGGGAGCCCCUCCUCUCUAAUGGCUGUACGGAAUUAAUUUUCCAAAACCUUUUGAAAGGUGUCGCCUCCAUGCAAUUCCAAGGAGAUCGAUAAGUCCAGGGAGAGCUAAAUUGUGGAUUUACAUUGAGAGGCCACAGUAAAUCAUCGUUCUGCGAGUACGAGUAGUAUGUGCCUGGAAUGAGCCGUCGAAAAUCAAUAGCGUGAGACACUCCAGACAAAGCCAACAGGAGGCAACCCUUUCAAUCAGCAGCAUCAGAUGUACGACGAGUAUUCUCCACGCGUCGAUGGCCAUCAGCAGCCCCGAGGACACGGACACGGACACGGACAUGGACACGGACACAAUGCGAUGCUAUCGCAGAUCAAGUUGCUUUAACCUCCCCAUCAAUUAAAGUAAGAGGCUUUUUCUUUAUUUUAUCUAUUGUGGCUUUUGGUCCAGCUGUUGGCUGUAUUUGGUUGAAUUUUAAGUGAAAUUUCAAUAUUUAUAAAU